rnacentral:rRNA from 1 species
AUUGAACGCUGGCGGCAUGCCUUACACAUGCAAGUCGAACGGUAACAGGUCUUCGGAUGCUGACGAGUGGCGAACGGGUGAGUAAUACAUCGGAACGUGCCUAGUAGUGGGGGAUAACUACUCGAAAGAGUGGCUAAUACCGCAUGAGAUCUACGGAUGAAAGCAGGGGAUCGCAAGACCUUGUGCUACUAGAGCGGCCGAUGGCAGAUUAGGUAGUUGGUGGGAUAAAAGCUUACCAAGCCGACGAUCUGUAGCUGGUCUGAGAGGACGAUCCGCCACACUGGGACUGGGAAACGGACCAGACUCCUACGGGAGGCAGCAGUGGGGAAUUUUGGACAAUGGGCGGAAGCCUGAUCCAGCAAUGCCGCGUGCAGGAUGAAGGCCUUCGGGUUGUAAACUGCUUUUGUACGGAACGAAAAGCCCCGGGUUAAUACCCUGGGGUCAUGACGGUACCGUAAGAAUAAGCACCGGCUAACUACGCGCCAGCCGCCACAGUAA